rnacentral:pre_miRNA from 1 species
GAGGUGUUUCAUAGGUGCUACAGUGUUUGAGACGUGGCGCCGUGAAAACAUCUGCC